UGAUUUUCACUCUGUUUCAUGUAGAAUUUCGAUCCUGCAUGUAGUUGCUUUUGGUCGUCCAUGAAAAUAGGUGGUUUUCGCUUUCGUUAUCUGUUGGUACAUAUACAACGAAAGAGGAGGGAUUCUUACCGGAAUAUCUCAAUGCGAAAUCAACAUACAUUUACAUUGUUCAAUAGACCUGAUAUUAUGAUCUGAAAAUGAAAUAAAACGAUUUAAAAUCAAAAUUUAAUAUGACUUAAAAAGACUCUUCUGAAAAUUUCAGUGCAAUCGUAUCUUACUUUUUGUAAUUAGUUUUUUACAAUUUUUAUACGAUUUUUAUAACACGAAGCGACAUUUUAAUAUAUAAAUAAAACAUCACAGCCUAUAUAAUUAUUGAGAAAAUUUUUGGCAAUAUUACGUUGGAGAGACGUAACUGCUGAAUUGAAACAUAAUCAGGAAAAAAUGAAUCACAAAAUUUGGUUAUUAUUUGUGCUAGUCACUAUUAACAUGUUGAUUAACGGGAUAAUAGCAUAUCCAGACCAUUUGUAUUGCGAAGAAGAAUUUAGUGCAGGUUAUGGCAAAAAGAAAAUAGUAAGAUAUUAUUUCGACAACGUAACACAGCAAUGUGAUAUAUUUAUUUAUUCAGGCCGUGGAGGAACUCUAAACAAUUUUGCGACUUUGGAUAAAUGCAUACGUACAUGUGAAAAUGUUAAACGUAUAGAUCUUUAAAUAGAAUUACUAAAGAUUUUGUAAAGUCUUGAUAACAUAUUUGUGUUUUACACUUGUUUCUAUAGUAAUUGACUACAGUAAUAAAAACAUUAUUAUUUGUUA